rnacentral:misc_RNA from 1 species
AAGUCGUAACAAGGUUUCCGUAGGUGAACCUGCGGAAGGAUCAUUAUCAACGUUAUCCACGUACUAACCAUUACCAAAAAAAUGUGAACUGUCUCGGAUCCUCUGAGAGAAAGCGGUUGGGAAGUGCGAUUUUCCUGCCAUUUGAUGUGUUUGGAAAAACGCUGUCUUUUCUCAGAGUGUAUUUCUUUUUUCUAACUACACUUCCUACAACUAUUUUUUUUAACCAAUUGAACCAAAACAUACAAUUACUUCUUUUCUGUGAACUGAAUUGUCAUUCCUUUUUCUGCCUUUUGCUUCGCUUUAUUGUCGAAUGCAAAAGGAAUGAAGAGGAUGAUUUAAUUUACGAAACAAAUAAGAACAACUCUUAGCAACGGAUAUCUUGGUUCUC